UCCUGGGAUAGCUUAGUCAGUAGAGCAUGUGACUCUUAAUCUCAGGGCUGUAGGUUCGAGCCCCACGUUGGGCA